GACGAACGCUGGCGGCGUGCUUAACACAUGCAAGUCGAACGGUCAAGCGCCUUCCUUUUUGGUGUGUGUGGAGGAGUUGCCAACGGGUGAGUAACCCGUUAGUAACCCUCCCCCUUCUUCUGGAUAACCGCAUGAAAGUGUUGCUAAUACGGGAUAAUCCGGGUCUUACGCAUGAUGGGUCUUGGAAAGAUAUUGUUUCGGUAGUGGAUGGCCUUGCGGCCUAUCAGGUUGUUGGUGGGGUAAUGGCCUACCAAGGCGGUGAUGGGUAGCCGGCCUGAGAGGGUGAGCGGCCAGACUGGGAGGGAGAACGGGCACAUACUGAGAAGGGAGCCAGCAGUGGGGAAUAUUGAACAAUGGGCGCAAGACUGAUGGAGCGACGCGGCGCGAGGGAUGGAGGCCGUCGGGUUGAGAAAGUCUUUCGCCAGUGAAGAAGGUCUGGUUGGUAUGUGGGUGGGUUGACGGUAGCUGGAGAAGAAGCGCCGGCUAACUACGUG
rnacentral:rRNA from 1 species